UACGGGAGGCAGCAGUGGGGAAGUAUUGCACAAUGGGCGCAAGCCUGAUGCAGCCACUGCCGCCGUGUAUGAAGAAAGGCCUUCGGGUUGUAAAGUACUUUCAGUCGUGAGGAAGGUGUUAAGGUUAAUAACCUUAGCAAUUGACGUUAGCGACAGAAGAAGCACCGGCUAACUCCGUGCCAGCAGCCGCGGUAAUACGGAGGGUGCGAGCGUUAAUCGGAAUUACUGGGCGUAAAGGGCACGCAGGCGGUUAAUUAAGUUGGAUGUGAAAUCCCCGGGCUUAACCUGGGAAUGGCAUUCAAGACUGGUUAGCUAGAGUCUUGUAGAGGGGGUAGAAUUCCAUGUGUAGCGGUGAAAUGCGUAGAGAUGUGGAGGAAUACCGGUGGCGAAGGCGGCCCCUGGGACAAAGACUGACGCUCAUGUGCGAAAGCGUGGGGAGCAAACAGGGA
rnacentral:rRNA from 1 species